rnacentral:lncRNA from 1 species
GCAUAGUUGAUAUUAUUAUGCCUAAUUAUAAUGAUUAAAACAAGAAGAAACUGAAUCUCACGGAGAACAUGAAAAAGGACCAAGAUCACAUGCCAACAUUGAUUGGAGCAAGAUUUGGAACUCAACUGAACAGUAAAAUUCUCACUGUGCAAUUAAAUACAUGAAUCAAAAAUGAAGAAGAAAUCUAUUGUGCCUGCUUGAAGAGAAACUCAAGUGGAAGAGAUUAAGGAAAAGGGAAUAUCGAAAGUACAGAUGUUUUUAAGACUUAACUGUGUUUCCUUAAAAGUUGUCAUAAACUGACCAUUGGAAAUUGACAGGAAAACAAGGAAGAAGGAGAGACACUAUGAAAAUAAAUGAUAAAAAUAAGACAGGAUGACCACAGUUUCAUGGAAACCAGGAAUCAUAAAAUACACAAUUAAGGAUGCCACAAGACUACCUUACAUAUAUAUACCCAGAGUUUCUCUACAAUGAAAAGAAGAAUCAAAUUCCCUGAACACAUGAGUAAUGGAAACAUGACAGAGCUGUUCAGGGACAUCAGACUACUUAGUAGAUAAGGAGAAGUCAGUCAUUGAGAAUUCCAUUAGAUAGUUUUAGGGAAGCAUCAGACUUAGUAGUUAAGGAGAGAUUAUAUAAAAACAAUGAUUAAAGGAUUCAAGUAGACAUCCUAGUACCAAGAACCAGUAGGAAAGAAAAGAAUACCCCUAACAGGCACAAGAAACACAUGUAGACACAGAAACACGUUCACAAACUCAGAAAAACAAAACAAAACAAAACAAACAAACAAAAAACAAAAAAACAAAAAACUACUGUAAUGCUACAUCCACUCCAGUAGUGACAAGCGCGACAGGCCCCUAAAACUUGGGCACUGUCCCGAGGCAAAAAGUUCACGGAAACUUAGUCUCCUGGAACCGUGGCAUCCUGUACAAAGAAUGCUCCAAUGUCCUUGCUUUAGUUGGUAAACAUAUCUGUGUGCUUUCCCUUAAUAUUGCUUUAUUACAAGUGCUCCUAAGGAUUGAUAUUUUGACAUAUAGCUAAGUUAGAUUCUAGGCAAUCCUUGAUCCAACCUUGGGCAUGGAUAGCUAAGUCAAUGCUCUACACAGAAAUUUACCAUUAUCUAGGAAGAAGGAAGUUUGUGACCUAAAGAGGAACCAGAGUAGAUACUUAGAACUAUAGGUAGCUGAGUUACACCCAUACACAAAAAAGUAUUUACAAUGGCCUAGGGGGAAGGUGGACUAUAUAAUAGACUAGAGUAGGAACUAUGGCAAGGGCACGAAGAAGCCCUUGCCCCUGGCUUCUAAGAUUAAGUGGACCUUAGGUGGAGCUGUUUUUUUUUUUUUUUCCAUUUUUUAUUAGGUAUUUAGCUCAUUUACAUUUCCAAUGCUAUACCAAAAGUCCCC